UCUCCAACCAACAUGAGAUCUCACAAUCUACCCUCUUAGGGGCCAGCGUCCUUAUUGGCACACUGCCUAGUGUCCGGCUCUGAUACCUUUUGUAACAGCCCAAGUCCACCGCUAGCAGAUAUUGUCUUCUUUGGACUUUCCCUUUC